rnacentral:rRNA from 1 species
UACUAGAGUAGCACUCGCAUAUCAAUAAGCGGAGGAAAAGAAACUAGCAAGGAUUCCCCUAGUAACGGCGAGUGAAGCGGGAAGAGCUCAAAUUUGAAAUCUUAAAGGGUUUCCCUUUACGAAUUGUAGUUUAAAGAAGUGUUUUCUGUUGAGGUUUUGGUAAAAGUUCUUUGGAAUAGGACAUCAUAGAGGGCGAGAAUCCCGUAUUUGACCUUUACUUUCAACUUUGUGAUACACUUUCAAAGAGUCGGAUUGUUUGGGAAUGCAGUCCAAAAUGGGUGGUAAAUUUCAUCUAAAGCUAAAUAUUGGCGAGAGACCGAUAGCGAACAAGUACCGUGAGGGAAAGAUGAAAAGAACUUUGAAAAGAGAGUUAAACAGUACGUGAAAUUGUCAAAAGGGAAGCGUUUGACACCAGUGUUGUUUUUCUGAAAAUCAAUUAAAGAACUGUUUAUGCUAAGUUGUUUAGACUUUAUCAGCUAUCUGUUUAGUUUUAGGCUUUUCUUUAAUGCACUUUUCAGUUAACAAGUCAACAUCAAUUUCUUUUGCUGUAAAAAAGCUUGAGGAAGGUGGCUUGAGAUUCGUCUUAAGUGUUUAUAGCCUCUUGCCUAUGCAGUCGGAGAGAUUGAGGUCUGCAGCGUAGAUCCUUCGGGGCUAAAUGCAUUUGUGCUAAGUUAUAGCAUUUUAUAGACAACUUGUUGACUAUGAUUUGUCUUGUAGCUUACUCGCUUAUGUUAUUUUACCUACGCUUAGGAUGUUGAGCGCAUGUCUCUCUCU